rnacentral:tRNA from 1 species
CUGCCCGUAGUCUAGUGGUUAGGAUUUCACUCUUACGAGGUGAGGACCCCGGUUCGAAUCCGGGCGGGCCCA